rnacentral:rRNA from 1 species
GGGCCCGCACAAGCGGAGGAACAUGUGGUUUAAUUCGAUGAUACGCGAGGAACCUUACCCGGGCUUGAAAUGCAGAAGAAUAAAGAGGAAACUUUUUAGCCAGCAAUGGCUUCUGUGUAGGUGCUGCAUGGUUGUCGUCAGCUCGUGCCGUGAGGUGUCGGCUUAAGUGCCAUAACGAGCGCAACCCUCAUCAUUAGUUACUAACAGGUCGAGCUGAGGACUCUAAUGAGACUGCCGGCGUAAGCUGCGAGGAAGGUGGGGAUGACGUCAAAUCAGCACGGCCCUUACGUCCGGGGCGACACACGUGUUACAAUGGGUGGUACAAAGGGCAGCUACUGGGCGACCAGGUGCUAAUCUCCAAAGCCCACUCCCAGUUCCGGAUCGGAGUCUGCAACUCGACUCCGUGAAGCUGGAUUCGCUAGUAAUCGCGCAUCAGCCAUGGCG